GGGUGCGAUCAUACCAGCACUAAUGCACCGGAUCCCAUCAGAACUCCGUAGUUAAGCGUGUUUGGUCGAGAGUAGUACUAGGAUGAGUGACCUCCUGCGAAGUCCUCGAUUUGCACCCC
rfam:Corchorus capsularis cultivar CVL-1 contig06281, whole genome shotgun sequence.